UGAGGUGGUUCCAUUUGUAGUCAUACGA
rnacentral:piRNA from 1 species